rnacentral:rRNA from 1 species
UACGGGGAGGCAAGCGUUGUUCGGAUUUCACUGGGCGUUAAAGGGCGCGUAGGCGGCCUCUCAAGUCGGGGGUGAAAUCUUUCAGCUCAACUGGAAAAUAGCCUCCGAUACUGAUUGCUUGAGGGGAUAGGGGUGCGCGGAACUUCCGGUGGAGCGGUGAAAUGCGUAGAUAUCGGAAGGAACGCCGGCGGCGAAAGCGGCGCACUGGAUCCUCACUGACGCUGAUGCGCGAAAGCCAGGGGAGCGAACGGG